AUGGGCGCGUCGUCGUCCCCGGCGCCGUCGGGCGACGGCGAGGCGACUGCGGGGCGCGGGUCGAGCCAGGAGGCGAUGAAGAUAAUGGUAUCCGUGCUGGUGGUGGUCAUCUUCUGCACGCUCUUCUACUGCAUCUACUGCUGGCGCUGGCGGAAGCGCAACGCCGUGAGGAGAUCGCUGCUCCAGAGCCUGCGGCCGAUGUCGAGCUCGGACCUGCCGCUCAUGGACCUCGCCUCCAUCCACGCCGCCACCGACAACUUCUCCAAGGCCAACAAGCUCGGCGAGGGCGGCUUCGGCCCUGUCUACAGAGGCGUGCUGACGGGCGGGUCGGAGAUCGCGGUGAAGCGGCUGUCGGCGCGGUCGCGGCAGGGCGCGGCAGAGUUCCGGAACGAGGUGGAGCUGAUCGCCAAGCUGCAGCACCGCAACCUGGUGCGGCUGCUGGGCUGGUGCGCCGAGCGCGACGAGAAGCUGCUGGUCUACGAGUACCUCCCCAACCGCAGCCUCGACGCCUUCCUCUUCGAUGCAAGCAAGAGCGCGCAGCUGGACUGGAAAACCCGGCACAGCAUCAUCCUGGGCAUCGCCCGCGGGCUGCUCUACCUCCACGAGGACUCGCUGCUCAAGGUCGUCCACCGGGACCUCAAGGCCAGCAACGUGCUCCUCGACAACAAGAUGAGGCCCAAGAUCUCCGACUUCGGCAUGGCCAAGAUCUUCGAGGACGAGUGCAUCGAGGUUAACACCGGCCGCGUCGUCGGAACCUACGGGUACAUGGCGCCGGAGUUCGUGAUGGAGGGCGUGUUCUCGGUCAAGUCGGACGUGUUCAGCUUCGGGGUCCUUCUCAUCGAGAUCCUCGGCGGCAAGCGGAACGGCGCGCUCUACCUCGAGGAGCACGAGCAGACCCUCAUCCAAGACGCAUGGAAGAGCUGGACGGAGGAGAAGGCGGCCGAGUUCAUGGACCCGGCGCUGGGGCGGGCCUACUCCAAGGAGGAGGCGUGGCGGUGCUUCCACGUGGGACUCCUCUGCGUGCAGGACGACCCGGAGCUCCGGCCGACCAUGUCCAGCGUCCUGCUCAUGCUCAUCAGCGACCACAUGAACCUGCCCGCGCCGGCCAGGCCGCCCAUGUUCACCCGGCUGAGGACCUUCCCGGCGGCGAUGAUCCCCUUCUCCACCAAGACCGAGUCCACCUUCUCGCCCCAGUCCAUCAACGACGUCUCCAUCACCGUCGUCGAGCCGCGAUGA
rnacentral:rRNA from 1 species